GCUAGAACACGUUGUCAAUCUAACCUUAGGAUGGGAAUAACCCCGGGAAACUGGGGCUAAUACCUGAUAGGCGAAAUAUUCUGGAAUGAUUUUUCACUUAAAGGGUUUUUGGAACAUGCUCCUUUAACUGCCUAAGGAUGAGACUGCGUCCGAUCAGGUUGUUGGUGGGGUAACGGCCUACCAAGCCUAUAACCGGUACGGGCCCUGAGAGGGGGAGCCCGGAGAUGGGAACUGAGACAAGGUCCCAGACCCUACGGGGUGCAGCAGUUGCGAAAACUCUACAAUGCACGAAAGUGUGAUAGGGUUAUCCCGGGUGCCGUCCGAUGAGGAUGGCUUUUCCUUGGUGUAAGGAGCCGGGGGAAUAAAAGGGGGGCAAGACUGGUGUCAGCCGCCGCGGUAAUACCAGCCCCUUGAGUGGUAGGGAUGAUUAUUUGGCCUAAAACGUCUGUAGCCUGCUUGGCAAGUCUUUCGUUAAAUCCGGUGACUCAAUCAUCGGUCUGCGAGAGAUACUACUAGGCUUGAGGACGGGAGAGGUCGACGGUAUUCCGGGGGUAGGGGUAAAAUCCUAUAAUCCUCGGAGGACCACCAGUAGCGAACGCGGUCGACUAGAACGUGCCUGACGGUGAUGGACGAAAGCUGGGGGAGCAAACCGGAUUAGACACCCGGGUAGUCCCAGCCGU
rnacentral:rRNA from 1 species